AUAGCAAGUCCCAUUAGAAAGAGAGAAAAAAGAAGAAGAAGAAAACAAAAGGAAAGGGAAAGAAAGACGUUUAAAUUAUGAAUAGUACAGCUGCAUUAGAAGUUAAAAGGAGAUACAGAGAGGCAUCGAAGAGAUCGGAAGAAGCCCUUUUGGAAAAGACAAGAGCUUUUUGUAAAUGCAUGGUGGGUGGAAAUCCAAAGAGGAUUUGAAGGGAUUCAAAGCCAAAUAUGGGGGUGAAAAUCUCAAGAAAUAUGCCCUUUUGGACCAACCCAGAUCAGCUUUUGGCUUCUCGGCAAAGCACUAUGGAUCAUACCAGUAAGACCGGAGCUUUGGUUGAUGUCGAUGGAGAAGAAGGGUUUGGGAAAUGGAAGAACAUGUCAAAAGAGGUGGAGGACGAGGAAGAUUCAUGGAAGCUUGGGAAGUUCCAUGACCAUGGCAUGAAGACCCCCUUCGCUUUGGAUGUUCAUGGUGUGUUAACUUUAUCCUGGUUGGGAUUGAUGAUGGAUUUAUAAUGGGUUUGGAAGGAUAUUUUCCUUUUAGUUUAUAGUUACUUUUUUUAGUUUAGAAUCACCCAAAAAAAAAAAAAAAAAGAUUCAAGAUAAUGUGCUAAAAAGGUGAUUUCUUUCUUUGAUGAAUCAUUUAGAGGUGAAUGAAAGUGAUAAGCACUUUUUCUUAAAAUAUUAUAAAUAAUUUUUAAAUUUUUUUAAAAUUAUUUUCUAAA